rnacentral:tRNA from 1 species
GGGCUUAUAGCGCAGUGGUAGCGCGCACGCUUUGCAUUAAGAAUUCUUUGUUGUGUGAGGUCCGGGGUUCAAUCCCCCGUGAGUCCA